UGGGCAACCUGCCCCUCUCUCUGGGAUAACCCCGGGAAACCGGAGCUAAUACCGGAUACUCCGGCUGGAUCACAUGGUCCGGCCGGGAAAGGUCCGCCGGAGAGGGAUGGGCCCGCGGCCUAUCAGCUUGUUGGUGGGUAACGGCCUACCAAGGCAUCGACGGGUAGCUGGUCCGAGAGGACGACCAGCCACACUGGGACUGAGACACGGCCCAGACCUCCUACGGGAGGCA
rnacentral:rRNA from 1 species